GCCUUCGUAGCUCAGUUGGGAGAGCGUGGCACUUGUAUGCACUUGUACGCGUACUAUACCUUGUACGCGAAGUGAUGCCAAGGUCUGUGGUUCGAUUCCGCACGGAGGCA
rnacentral:tRNA from 1 species